AUUGAACGCUGGCGGCAUGCCUUACACAUGCAAGUCGAACGGCAGCACGGGGGCAACCCUGGUGGCGAGUGGCGAACGGGUGAGUAAUACAUCGGAACGUGCCCUGAAGUGGGGGAUAACGUAGCGAAAGUUACGCUAAUACCGCAUAUUCUGUGAGCAGGAAAGCAGGGGAUCGCAAGACCUUGCGCUUUAGGAGCGGCCGAUGUCGGAUUAGCUAGUUGGUGAGGUAAAGGCUCACCAAGGCGACGAUCCGUAGCGGGUCUGAGAGGAUGAUCCGCCACACUGGGACUGAGACACGGCCCAGACUCCUACGGGAGGCAGCAGUGGGGAAUUUUGGACAAUGGGCGAAAGCCUGAUCCAGCCAUGCCGCGUGAGUGAAGAAGGCCUUCGGGUUGUAAAGCUCUUUCGGCGGGGAAGAAAUCGCAUUCUCUAAUACAGGAUGUGGAUGACGGUA
rnacentral:rRNA from 1 species